rnacentral:tRNA from 1 species
UAGGAUGUAGUAUAGUGGAAGUAUGAAGAGUUUUGAUCUCUUAGGUGUAGGUUCGAGUCCUAUUUUUCUAA